rnacentral:rRNA from 1 species
AGAGUUUGAUCCUGGCUCAGAUUGAACGCUGGCGGCAGGCCUAACACAUGCAAGUCGAGCGGAAACAUAGAGGUGCUUGCACCUCUGGCGUCGAGCGGCGGACGGGUGAGUAAUGCUUGGGAAUAUGCCUUAUGGUGGGGGACAACAGUUGGAAACGACUGCUAAUACCGCAUAAUGUCUACGGACCAAAGUGGGGGACCUUCGGGCCUCACGCCAUAAGAUUAGCCCAAGUGGGAUUAGCUAGUUGGUGAGGUAAUGGCUCACCAAGGCGACGAUCCCUAGCUGGUUUGAGAGGAUGAUCAGCCACACUGGGACUGAGACACGGCCCAGACUCCUACGGGAGGCAGCAGUGGGGAAUAUUGCACAAUGGGCGCAAGCCUGAUGCAGCCAUGCCGCGUGUGUGAAGAAGGCCUUCGGGUUGUAAAGCACUUUCAGUAAGGAGGAAAGGUUAAGUGUUAAUAGCACUUAGCUGUGACGUUACUUACAGAAGAAGCACCGGCUAACUCCGUGCCAGCAGCCGCGGGUAAU